rnacentral:lncRNA from 1 species
GUGUAUUAAUGGUGUAUUUGAUCUGCACAUGUGCUAUCACGAGCAGCGUAAAUCUCCUUUUCUGGUACAGGUGAAGUGAGUUUGGAAAAUCUGAAAGUAUGCAUAGUUUUCACAUGCAAACUUUAUAUAGUAUGUCCAAACUCUGAAUCAAAUAGGCUUCCCAAAAUGAUAUGAUCAAUGUGAUAGAACGUUUAUGUUGAUUGGUGAUUUUCAGGUUGCCUGAUUAUGACCUGUCCACUGGAUUGUAGAGGAAAUCGUUCUUCUCGCAAAGCAUGUAAAUGUUUUAAUCAAACUAUUAUAUUAAUCAGAGUAUUAACACUAAUCAUAUUAUUGAAUGCAUAUAAACAUACCCAUUGUUACAUGAAAUACAGUAGUUUGCAAAAAUACUUAAUUUAAAGUUUGUGCUUAUAUAGAAAUAUGCAGUUGGUAAAGUGCUAUUGCUCAAACUAAAGCCACGUGCCUUUAAAGCCUGCUCACACUUCUACUCUGCCAGUGUGUAUCUCUGUGUAUAUCUCUGUUCUUUACUAACCUAUGUGAGAACAAGUUUACUGCAGUACUAGCAAACUUUACAAUGACAAUCUUAAAAUGUGUGAUGUGAUUGCAAGAUCACUGCCUUACCUCUCAUAAUCAAUAAUAUUAAAGUCCAUUUUUACCCAGUGCUGUCUUUUUAACAGAAUUGUAAAACUGUCACACUUAGAACUUAGUAGUAAUAAAGCAGUGGUUUUCUUUUUAAUGAUUUUAAUGUGGCAGAUACCAUAGACACCCUACAGGCCUGUACUGUACCUGGCAUUGCGUGGUAUACCAAAGAUACUGGCAACUAACCCAAUAUAUCUCAUCGGCGUCGUUUCUAAUGUGAGCAAAUUAAGCAUAUUGGACAGAACAAGCAAGGAGGUGGGCAGAGCCAAGCACGAGCUAGCAAGAUCCUAUUGGCACGUGUAUGCAAGUAUUUGCAUAUUUCCGUUAGGGAAGUCUCUAUUGCACCCCCGAGUCAACUCACACGAUCACUGCGUCAUAAAAAGAGGAAGGGUGUGUCUUAGUUGUUACAAUCUGAUCAUGCUCGAAACGACGGAACAUUACAACCACAUAGUCCAUUUAACCGCUCCCCUAACCUUAACCAUUACCCAAACCUUAACCCUAACUCUAAAUUGAGUACCAAAAAUGUACGUAGUUACACAUUAUUUCGGACAAAAUCGUAACUUUAGUUCUUUCUAGCAUGGCCAUCUACAGUAAACUACAGAGUUGUUUUUCGCUGCACUCUUUCAAUUACUCACAGAUGCCCCCUUCUGGAUGUACAGCCAAAAGCACUAUGGACACCGUUGUGGCCAGUUUGUGCUGUUUGAAUAUGUCUAGUUGUGUGCGUGUUUGUGUGUGUACCCACAAUGCCUGCAUGUGAGUUCAAGUCUCUACCCUUGAAUGACACUCACCUUGAGGUUCCAUUUCCUGCUCUAAAAAAAUGGUGAUAACCUCAAUUAAAAUAAUGUUUGUCUGCCAUUGUUAUUACCCUGACUGAAAUCGAUGAAUAAACUACAAAUGUCUUGAUCUUCUGAAACUUUGGUUUCAAAUGAUUAAAAAU